UACAGAGGGUGCGAGCGUUAAUCGGAAUUAUUGGGCGUAAAGGGCGCGUAGGCGGCUUUGCAAGUGACGGGUGAAAUCCCUCGGCUUAACCGAGGAACUGCCUGUCAAACUGCAUGGCUUGAGACCGGGAGAGGUGAGUGGAAUUCCCAGUGUAGCGGUGAAAUGCGUAGAUAUUGGGAGGAACACCAAUGGCGAAGGCAGCUCGCUGGGACGUUACUGACGCUGAGACGCGAAAGCGUGGGGAGCAAACAGG
rnacentral:rRNA from 1 species